rfam:Firmicutes bacterium CAG:882 genomic scaffold, scf280
GAUGUACGAAUCUAAGAUAUUCUAAGAACUCUGUCCAUAAAAUAACCAAAGCCGGCACGGAUGCCGGCUUAGCUGCAACCAGCCACGGAUGGCUGUUUUGCAGCGAUGGUGACUGUUUUUUAUUACUUUUAUCAGAGUUCUUAGAACAUCUUAGCUUCGUAAAAC